rnacentral:rRNA from 1 species
UCUGGCCCCCCGGGGCCCGAGUUGUAAUUUGUAGAGGAUGCUUCUGGCGAGGUGCCUUCCGAGUUCCCUGGAACGGGACGCCAUAGAGGGUGAGAGCCCCGUCUGGCUGGACGCCGAGCCUCUGUGAAGCUCCUUCGACGAGUCGAGUAGUUUGGGAAUGCUGCUCUAAAUGGGAGGUAUAUGUCUUCUAAAGCUAAAUACCGGCCAGAGACCGAUAGCGCACAAGUAGAGUGAUCGAAAGAUGAAAAGCACUUUGAAAAGAGGGUUAAACAGUACGUGAAAUUGUUGAAAGGGAAGCGCUCGUGACCAGACGUGGGCCUCGGCGGAUCAUCCAGCGGUCUCCCGCUGGUGCACUCCGCCGGGCCCAGGCCAGCAUCAGUUUGCCCUGGGGGAUAAAGGCUCCGGGAACGUGGCUCCUCCGGGAGUGUUAUAGCCCGCCGCGCAAUACCCUGGGGCGGACUGAGGUUCGCGCAUCUUUUGCUAGGAUGCUGGCGUAAUGGUUAUCAGCGGCCCGUCUUGAAACACGGACCA